rnacentral:rRNA from 1 species
AAUCCUUUAACGAGGAUCUAUUGGAGGGCAAGUCUGGUGCCAGCAGCCGCGGUAAUUCCAGCUCCAAUAGCGUAUAUUAAUUUUGUUGCGGUUAAAAAGCUCGUAGUUGGAUCUCGGUUUCGGGCGAGCGGUGUACCUUGCGGUAUUUACUGUUUGCCCGGACGAUUUUGUUGGUUCGUUUAUGGUUCUCUUAACCGAGUGCCAUAAGUGGCCAGCACGUUUACUUUGAAAAAAUUGGAGUGCUCAAAGCAGGCGCUACAGCCUGAACAUUAGUGCAUGGAAUAAUGGAAUAGGAUCUCGGUUCUAUUUCGUUGGCUUUCGGAGUCGAGGUAAUGAUUAAUAGGGACAGACGGGGGCAUUCGUACUGCGACGUUAGAGGUGAAAUUCUUGGAUCGUCGCAAGACGAACUACUGCGAAAGCAUUUGCCAAGAAUGUUUUCAUUAAUCAAGAAAAGUUAGAGGUUCGAAGGCGAUCAGAUACCGCCCUAGUUCUAACCAUAAACGAUGUCGACCGGCGAUCCGUUAUCGUUAACUGAAUGACUUAACGGGCAGCCUCCGGGAAACCAGAGUGUUUGGAUUCCGGGGGAAGUAUGGUUGCAAAGCUGAAACUUAAAGGAAUUGACGGAAGGGCACCACCAGGAGUGGAGCCUGCGGCUUAAUUUGACCCAACACGGGAAAUCUCACCAGGCCCGGACACCGGAAGGAUUGACAGAUUGAGAGCUCUUUCUUGAUUCGGUGGGUGGUGGUGCAUGGCCGUUCUUAGUUGGUGGAGCGAUUUGUCUGGUUAAUUCCGAUAACGAACGAGACUCUGGCCUACUAACUAGACGUUAGAUCCCUUUGUGGGUCUAUCGCAGCUUCUUAGAGGGACGGGCGGCGUUUAGCCGCACGAGAUUGAGCAAUAACAGGUCUGUGAUGCCCUUAGAUGUUCUGGGCUGCACGCGCGCUACACUGAAGGAAUCAGCGUGUGUUCCCUACCCGAAAGGGUUGGGAAACCCGUUGAACCUCCUUCGUGAUGGGGAUUGGGGAUUGCAAUUAUUCCCCAUGAACGAGGAAUUCCCAGUAAGCGCGAGUCAUAAGCUUGCGCUGAUUACGUCCCUGCCCUUUGUACACACCGCCCGUCGCUACUACCGAUCGAGUGAUUUAGUGAGGCCUUCGGACUGGUCUUCAGUAUGGCUUUCGGGUCGUGUUGGAGUACCGGAAAGAUGACCAAACUUGAUCACUUAGAGGAAGUAAAAGUCGUAACAAGGUUUCCGUAGGUGAUCCUGCGGAAG